GUCCAAUGCUAUUCAUGAUUGUUGUGACAAGCUGUGCUUCGAGGUAAAUUGCUUUGCAAACUCACUAGGUCCCACAUCCAACUAAGCCUUUUCAUUUCUUGCCUCACAACCACCUUGGAACACACAUUCAUUUACCUCCUGUUAUAAAUUAGUGGACACCGCGUACUGAAAAUUGCAGAUAGGUGUCCCAAAUUCACCAUUUUAAGAAAACUCCACUCCACCUCUCCCACCCCCUUUCUUUCUCACUCAUUUUCUUAUGUGAGAGAGGAGCUAGCUAGGCUGAGUUUCUAGCUAGAGCUAUAUCAGCGAUAUCAAGUGAAGAGAAGGUGUGUGUGAGCAAGAUGGAGAAGCAGGGCACGUGCAUUACUAACUCAUGCACACAGAGUGAGAGAGACAUUUCUUGCUGGAGUUAUGACUCUUACCUACUAUAGAUUGUGUUGGCUUCAGCGAGUUAGUUCUUCAUGUGCCUGUCUUCCCCAUCAUGAUCACUACCACACCUAUAUUAUUAGCUCAUCUGGGCACUUCAUAUAGGAUCGAGAGAAUCUCCUCUUCAGGGACUGAAUUCAUGCAUGCAGGGCUCAACAUGUAAUUGAACUCAAGAAUGUUGGGUCUGAUACCUUGUCAAACCCACAUGUAAUUGGGCUCGGCAUGCAGCUGAAUUCAAAUGUGUUAAGUCUAGCAUUUUAUCAAACCCACAUAUACUUGGGCUUAACACGCAACUAAACCGAAAAGUGUUAAGUCUGGUAUUUUGCCAGACCCACAUAUAUUGGGGCUCAGCACAUAGUUAAAGUUAAAAAUGUUGGAUUUGGCACCUCACUAGACCCACAUGUUAUUGGAAUUAAUUUGUAGUUGAACCUAAGGAUAUUGGGUUUGACACCUCAUCAAACUCACAUGGAAUUGAGCUUAGCGAGUAAUUGAACCCAAUAAUAUUGGGUCUAACAUCUCACCAGACUCGUAUAAACUUGGUCUCAAUACAUGACUAAACUUAAGGAUAUUGGAUAUGGAAGUAAAUUAAAUUUAUAUUAUUUGAGCUUGAUAUUCUACUAAGUUUAAGUAUGCUAGAUUAUUAUCUUAUCUCUAACUUUUUUAAUCAUGGAUUUUUAAACAAAUAUAUAUAAUGCGUGAUACAUCAACUUUAUAUUGAUGCAUGUGGAAUUAGAUAAUAAUAUUGUUCUGAUAUUUUUUUAAAAAUAUUGUUUUAAUGUUUGGAAGGAUUAGUGUUGUCUUAUUCCAUUAUUUAUAAGAACACAAGUGUAUAACGAUUAAAACAAAUCAUCCUUGAUUAAUAAAAUAAUUAAAUUCGAGGCUUUUGUUCCAAAUACUUAACAUAUUUACCCUUCAGUCUACAUGUAUUAUUAUCUGUUUUUAUUCUAUAUCAUGUAUACAAAAAUGGUGAUAGGGUUCGUACCUCUUUUUUGGUAAUCCAAACAAAAUAAUAAUAAAAAAAAAGAGUCAAGAAAAAGGGCUUGUUGAAUUAGAACCCAAAGUGGUGAAGAAAAAAAAAAGAUGUUAAAUAGAAGAAAAACCAACCUCAAGUUCCAAAAUAUUAUUAUUUUUCCAUCUCAUGAAUAAUUUUCAAUAAUAAAAACUUGAGUUAUUUAUAACUUGACCUUUGUAAUUUAGCAAAAAUAAUUAAAUUAGUCUAUAUGAAAAGAAAAAAAAAUCAUUUAGUUUAAUUUUCUCCAUGCAUUUAAUUUUUUAAUUAUUUUUUUUAUUUUAAUAAAUAGAAAAGGUAAAAAAAAUUAGAUUGGAUGGAAAGUUGAUGAGAAAAGAAAGCUUUUUUUCAAAAAACAUACAUUUAAAUUAAGCAUGGUUAAAUGAUUAUUUAAUUAUUGUUGAUACUACAAGGAGAAAUUAAUUUUUUUUUAUAAACUAUAAGGACUAAAUUAUAUUUAACUCUAAAAAUUUAGGGUAAAUGUUAGUAUGCUUUAGAUGGUGUCUUAAAUUCAUCUCGAAAGUUUGGUUUGUAUAAUUCAAUCUCCUUGGUUGUGAUAAUAAGUAGUUUCAGCUUCCCUGAAUUUAUUUUGUCCAUUUCUGUUUGUAGCAACAAGGGAUCAUAAAUUUAAAUUUUAUUCUUAAAAUUUAAAAAAUAUCUCAUUAUCAUCUAAAAAUAUAUUAUAAACUAAAGAAAUAAUUGAAUUAAGAUAAAAAAAAUCAAUAAAAAAGUUGUUUUUUCAGGAAAAAAAAAAUGAUAUCUAAAACUUGAGUUAGUUGUUUCUCAAGUAAUCUCCAUGCCCUACCAACUUCAAUUUUCAUUCACCGAUAACAAUAUCAUCCCUUUUUCUUAAUUUGUCAAUACUAAAUGUUAAAUGAAUAUAAAGAUUUAAAUGAGUCUGUCUAUUUUGUUUUGUUGUUUUGUUUUCUUUCAGAAUAUUUUGAGUUAUAUCGAGAUAUUUCAUCAUAAAUCCUAGGAGAAAAAAUAAAAUUUACACAUAUUUUCUAGUAUAAAAUUGAGACAUUCCUAUGAGGAGAAAUUAAAAUUUACUCUAAAAUUUAUUCCAGGGAAUUUCAAUGGUAUGCAUGCCAUGAUGCUUUCUGUUGAGUUUUUCUUUUCUAGAAAAUAUGAAGUGGGCCGGGGUCUUGUCUUCCAUGAUGCUUUCUGUUGAGACUUCAUAUACAGAAAAGUAGAGAAACAGUACACAAUAUGAAUAAUGGGAAAAAAGGUGGUGUUUCUUCUCCACCGAGUCUUGGCGGAAAUCAUGUGAUAGCAGAUGUACAAGCAAGUAGCCUGGCAACUAAAAGACGUGAGAUUUCUUGCUGAUCAUCAGUUUUCUUCUUUAUCUCUGCUCCUUCCAUUAACAGGUAGUGGGUGUCUAUCAAUGUUGCUCUCAGUCUUCACCAAUAAAACCGAUUAGAGAUGAGUGGAGCAAAACCAUCGAGGCAUGAGUUCCCAAGAAAAGUGAUGUCUUAUUAUCAUGGAUAGAUAGCAUUUUGGCCACCAUCCAGGGGACAGUACAAGAUAGCAAUGGCCACCGCAGAUAUUGCCUCUAAUCCAUCCAAUUUAGCUCUUUUUUUUGCUCCUCUCAACCACGUUUGAAUGACAGUGAAAUGCCAUUCACAGCAUCUUGCCUUCUUAUCAAAUACCUUUUGUUUACCCGAGUUUUUAGAGUGAUCGAGAUUGCAAGCAACCUCAGAAAAUGAUGGCUUUUACAUGAAAAUCUUUCAUUUUCUUCAAGUUGCUCAAGUUAUCUUUUUUCCCUCCUUGUUAAUGAUGGUUUUUAUAUCUAAAGCAACUCUUUCAUUUUAUUU